CCUACGGGGGGCUGCAGUGGGGAAUAUUGGACAAUGGGGGGAACCCUGAUCCAGCCAUGCCGCGUGUGUGAAGAAGGCCCUCGGGUUGUAAAGCACUUUCAGUGAGGAAGAACGCCUGGUGGUUAAUACCCAUCAGGAAAGACAUCACUCACAGAAGAAGCACCGGCUAACUCCGUGCCAGCAGCCGCGGUAAUACGGAGGGUGCGAGCGUUAAUCGGAAUUACUGGGCGUAAAGCGCGCGUAGGUGGCUUGAUAAGCCGGUUGUGAAAGCCCCGGGCUCAACCUGGGAACGGCAUCCGGAACUGGCAAGCUAGAGUGCAGGAGAGGAAGGUAGAAUUCCCGGGGUAGCGGUGAAAUGCGUAGAGGUCGGGAGGAAUACCAGUGGCGAAGGCGGCCUUCUGGACUGACACUGACACUGAGGUGCGAAAGCGUGGGUAGCAAACAGGAUUAGAUACCCUAGUAGUC
rnacentral:rRNA from 1 species